rnacentral:rRNA from 1 species
AGAGUUUGAUCCUGGCUCAGAACGAACGCUGGCGGCGUGCUUAACACAUGCAAGUCGAACGCGAAAGGGGCUUCGGCCCCGAGUAGAGUGGCGCACGGGUGAGUAACGCGUAAGUGAUCUACCCCUGUAUCUGGAAUAACUAUGGGAAACUGUAGCUAAUACCGGAUACGUUCAUGUGAUUGCGAUUAUGUGAAGAAAGAUGGCCUCUGACCUAAGCUAUCGUACAGGGAGGAGCUUGCGUACCAUUAGCUAGUUGGCAGGGUAAAGGCCUACCAAGGCGACGAUGGUUAGCGGGUCUGAGAGGAUGAUCCGCCACACUGGAACUGAAACACGGACCAGACUCCUACGGGAGGCAGCAGUGAGGAAUAUUGCGCAAUGGGGGCAACCCUGACGCAGCGACGCCGCGUGGAUGAUGAAGGCCUUCGGGUCGUAAAAUCCUGUCGGAUGGAAAGAAGUGCAUAUAUGCUAAUAUCAUGUAUGCUUGACGGUACCAUCAGAGGAAGCACCGGCUAACUCCGUGCCAGCAGCCGCGGUAAUACGGAGGGUGCAAGCGUUGUUCGGAAUUACUGGGCGUAAAGCGCGCGUAGGCGGUUUGUUAAGUCAGAUGUGAAAGCCCCGGGCUUAACCUGGGAUGUGCAUUUGAAACUGACAGACUUGAGUAUUGGAGGGGGUGGUGGAAUUCCCGGUGUAGAGGUGAAAAUUCGUAGAUAUCNGGGAGGAAUACCGGUGGCGAAGGCGACCACCUGGCCAAUACUGACGCUGAGGUGCNAANGC